AUGCCAGAUCUUUCGGUCACUUUCACGGGCAAACACAGAAACAGUUACUACCGUUGGAUGGACGAAUUGGAACGAAUCAGGGGCAAAAGAAACUACCCGAAACAUCCUCGGGCAGAUCUCAUCGCCUUUAAGAAGUGGCUCAAGCCCCUUCUCUUUCUCGCUCAGAUUAGGGUAAUCGAAAUUCCAAACCCUACACGCUCUUUUUCUCUCCUCGCUUCUCUUUCCGGAUCCAGAGGCCGUCUCUCCGUCGGUGGCGCGUGA